rnacentral:rRNA from 2 species
ACCCUCAACAACGGAUAUCUUGGCUCUCGCAACGAUGAAGAACGCAGCGAAAUGCGAUACGUAGUGCGAAUUGCAGGAUGUAUGCGAGUCAUCGAAUCUUUGAACGCAUAUUGCGCUCGAGGCUUCGGCCGAGAGCAUGUCUGCCUGAGCGUC